GUAACAAGGUCUCCGUUGGUGAACCAGCGGAGGGAUCAUUACCGAGUUUACAACUCCCAAACCCAAUGUGAACGUUACCAAACUGUUGCCUCGGCGGGAUCUCUGCCCCGGGUGCGUCGCAGCCCCGGACCAAGGCGCCCGCCGGAGGACCAACCAAAACUCUUUUUGUAUACCCCCUCGCGGGUUUUUUAUAAUCUGAGCCUUCUCGGCGCCUCUCGUAGGCGUUUCGAAAAUGAAUCAAAACUUUCAACAACGGAUCUCUUGGUUCUGGCAUCGAUGAAGAACGCAGCGAAAUGCGAUAAGUAAUGUGAAUUGCAGAAUUCAGUGAAUCAUCGAAUCUUUGAACGCACAUUGCGCCCGCCAGUAUUCUGGCGGGCAUGCCUGUCCGAGCGUCAUUUCAACCCUCGAACCCCUCCGGGGGGUCGGCGUUGGGGAUCGGCCCUCCCUUAGCGGGUGGCCGUCUCCGAAAUACAGUGGCGGUCUCGCCGCAGCCUCUCCUGCGCAGUAGUUUGCACACUCGCAUCGGGAGCGCGGCGCGUCCACAGCCGUUAAACACCCAACUUCUGAAAUGUUGACCUCGGAUCAGGUAGGAAUACCCGCUGAACUUAAGCAUAUCA
rnacentral:rRNA from 1 species